CGUCCAGGAAUGGGAAACGAACCCACAGUGUUUCGCUUACCGGACAUAGGCCAUAUCAACUAGGCUACCUCGGAC